CAGCUGUCACAUUUUUUGAUCGUAAUUUUUCCAAUUUUUAAGUGUGUUUUGCACUGUUUUUACAUAAAACGCUAUGGUUUAUUCCUAUGUAGUGUGCAAAAUCCCCUAAAUCUUCGAUUUCUUUCCACAAAUAAGUAAACUCACAAUUUGUAAACAAUACAUAGGCGUAGAAUGAGGUUUAUAAGGGGUAAAUUUUUGCCAUGAAUUAUAGGUUACCCUCAGGUGAAACUUUGAGACGGAAGUUGAUCAAUGCUUUGGGAUUAGGAGAUUUCGUUUUGACCAAAUAUACAUAUCUUUGCUCAAAA